CCUACGUGUGGCUGCAGUGGGGAAUAUUUCACAAUGGGGGAAACCCUGAUGCAGCGACGCCGCGUGAGUGAAGCAGUAAUUCGUUAUGUAUAGCCCUAUCAGCAGGGAAGAAAAUGACGGUACCUGAUUCAGAAGCCUCGGCUAACUACGUGCCAGCAGCCGCGGUAAUACGUAGGGGGCCAGCGUUAUCCGGAUUUACUGGGUGUAAAGGGAGCGUAGACGGCAGGGCAAGUCUGGAGUGAAAGGCGGGGGCUCAACCCGCGGACUGCACUGGAAACUGUUCGGCUGGAGUGCAGGAGAGGUAAGUGGAAUUCCUAGUGUAGCGGUGAAAUGCGUAGAUAUUAGGAGGAACACCAGUGGCGAAGGCGGCUUACUGGACUGUAACUGACGUUGAGGCUCGAAAGCGUGGGGAGCAAACAGGAUUAGAUACCCGAGUAGUC
rnacentral:rRNA from 1 species